rnacentral:rRNA from 1 species
UGAUUGCCUUAGUAACGGCGAGUGAAGAGGCAAAAGCUCAAGUUUGGAAGCUCAGUGGUUUAACCACUGCGCAUUGUAAACUGAAAACAGGAUCAAUCAGGUACACCGGGUGAUAAGUUCCUUGGAAUAGGACAUCAUGGAGGGUGAGAAUCCCGUCUUUGACCCGAGUCUUAGUAUCUUUUGUAUUGGCCUGUUCAAGAGUCAGGUUGUUUGGGAAUGCAGCCUAAAGCUGGAGGUAAAUCCCUCCUGAAGCUAAAUAAUGGCGAGAGACCGAUAGCGAACAAGUACCGUGAGGGAAAGAUGAAAAGAACUCUGAAGAGAGAGUUAAACAGUACGUGAAAUUGCUUAAAGGGAAGCAUAUAAAGCUAGGAUGCGAUUGUUUUCUUCAGGUUGAGCUUUGGCUUGACUGUUCAGAAGGAUAAUCCGAGACAACAAGAAUUGGAGGAGGAGAAUAAGCCGUUGGGGAAGGUAGUCCUUCGGGAUGUUUAUAGACCCAGCGGUUCGCGCUCUUCUUUCGAUUGAGGUACGCUUUUUUUACAGGUUGUUGUCUGAAUGGCUUUAUAUGGCCCGUCUUGAAACACGGACCAAGGAGUCCACCUAAUGUGCGAGUAUUUGGGAGGUAAACCCAUAUGCGCAAUGAAAGUGACUUACCUAUGAGAGGGUCCUUGUGGCCUUUGCAAUAGGGUCGGGCAGGGACGUUUUAUACUGAACUGACUCAGACUAAGCACAUUGGAUGGGACCCGAAAGAUGGUGAACUAUGCUUGGAUAGGGUGAAGCCAAAGGAAACUUUGGUGGAGGCUCGUAGCGAUUCUGACGUGCAAAUCGAUCGUC